rnacentral:rRNA from 1 species
GGGAUUGCCCUAGUAACGGCGAGUGAAGCGGCAACAGCUCAAAUUUGAAAUCUGGCCCUCGGGUCCGAGUUGUAAUUUGUAGAGGAUGCUUUUGGUGCGGUGCCUUCCGAGUUCCCUGGAACGGGACGCCAUAGAGGGUGAGAGCCCCGUCUGGUUGGACACCAAUCCUCUGUAAAGCUCCUUCGACGAGUCGAGUAGUUUGGGAAUGCUGCUCUAAAUGGGAGGUAUAUGUCUUCUAAAGCUAAAUACCGGCCAGAGACCGAUAGCGCACAAGUAGAGUGAUCGAAAGAUGAAAAGCACUUUGAAAAGAGAGUUAAAAAGUACGUGAAAUUGUUGAAAGGGAAGCGCUUAUGACCAGACUUGGGCUUGGUAGAUCAACCUGGGUUCUCCCUGGUGCACUCUUCCUCGUCCAGGCCAGCAUCAGUUCGCUGCGGGGGAUAAAGGUUUCGGGAAUGUGGCUCCCUCGGGAGUGUUAUAGCCCGUUGCGUAAUACCCUGCGGUGGACUGAGGUUCGCGUUCUGCAAGGAUGCUGGCGUAAUGGUCAUCAGCGACCCGUCUUGAAACACGGACCAAGGAGUCGUCUUCGUAUGCGAGUGUUCGGGUGUUAAACCCCUACGCGUAAUGAAAGUGAACGCAGGUGAGAGCUUCGGCGCAUCAUCGACCGAUCCUGAUGUUCUCGGAUGGAUUUGAGUAAGAGCAUACGGGGCCGGACCCGAAAGAAGGUGAACUAUGCCUGUAUAGGGUGAAGCCAGAGGAAACUCUGGUGGAGGCUCGCAGCGGUUCUGACGUGCAAAUCGAUCGUCAAAUAUGGGCAUGG